rnacentral:rRNA from 1 species
CCUCCUUGUCUCCUCCUUUUUUUCUCUUUCCCCCUUUUGUCCCCCCUGCUGCCGCGCCGCCGCGUGCGUGAAGAAGUAUUUCGGUAUGUAAAGCUCUAUCAGCAGGGAAGAAAAUGACAGUACCUGACCAAGAAGCCCCGGCUAACUACGUGCCAGCAGCCGCGGUAAUACGUAGGGGGCAAGCGUUAUCCGGAUUUACUGGGUGUAAAGGGAGCGUAGACGGUUAUGUAAGUCUGGAGUGAAAGCCCGGGGCCCAACCCCGGGACUGCUUUGGAAACUGUGUAACUGGAGUACAGGAGGGGCAGGCGGAAUUCCUGGUGUAGCGGUGAAAUGCGUAGAUAUCAGGAGGAACACCGGCGGCGAAGGCGGCCUGCUGGACUGAAACUGACGUUGAGGCUCGAAAGCGUGGGGAGCAAACAGGAUUAGAUACCCUUGUAGUC